UACGGAGGAUGCAAGCGUUAUCCGGAAUGAUUGGGCGUAAAGCGUCCGCAGGUGGCAAUGUAAGUCUGCUGUCAAAGCGUCUGGCUCAACCAGAUAAAGGCAGUGGAAACUACAUAGCUAGAGUAAGGUAGGGGUAGAGGGAAUUCCUGGUGUAGCGGUGAAAUGCGUAGAGAUCAGGAAGAACACCGGUGGCGAAAGCGCUCUGCUGGAACGGUACUGACGCUGAGACGCGAAAGCGUGGGGAGCGAACAGG
rnacentral:rRNA from 1 species